AUGUCGGGGGCCUUGACCCGGGAGGGACUCCUGACAAAGGAGCUGGAGAUGGAGAAGCAACUGCUGAGGAACGAGACCGCCAACCUCAAGGAUCACAAGGCGGGCCAGAAACGCUGGCUUGAGCGCCUUGCCGCCGUCGCAAACUCGGCCGCCGACCAGCUGGCCAUCAUGGUGGUAUCGGGCAUUGAGUACGCCCCGGAAGUGAACCUGAGCCGCAACGCCAACCUGACCAUAUACUUCGAGAAGGUCGUUGGCGCCUUGAAGCGGCUCCACUCCAAUCGGGCGGCCUCCCUUGCCGAAGAGUCCUGGAUUCUUUGCCAGGGGGGCAUCACCAGGGUGCUCGUCAAGAUAGCGCACUGGCAUCCUGACCUCGAUUUCAAAGCGGUGUUGAAGAGCUUACCGGAGGAUGCUGACAUCACAGCGCUCAACGAGCUUUAUCCAGCCCAUCCUCAGCCGCAUCGACAAAAUCAAGAGGUUGGAGGGCCAGCGCCGGGACUGAGCACCUCAUCUCUUAUCGCCGCUGCAGGUUCAUGA
rnacentral:rRNA from 1 species